GGCUGGCAGGCGGCGCUCUGAAUCUCGGGGGUCGGAAGGCCGGAGACCGGACGCCAGGCUUCCUAUCCUGGCCUUGCCCGCCUUUGCCGUGCGGCUUUGGCGAGUCAGCGCUUUCGGCCUCUCUUGCCUCAUCUGUAGAAUGGGAGAGCGAGAAUAACGUCAUCUGUGAGGCGGGGGCAUGAAAUGAAGUCCGUUCUUUUGUCAGGGCUUCUCUGAGCCGAGGUUCUCGAUUCUUCAACGUGGCCCAGGGGUCACAAGCUUUAAUGGUUAUUCAGUCAGGAGGCACCAAAUGAUGGCAGCAGCUCUGGGGGAUCCCGGGCUCUCCAAAUUGCUGUUUGCUCCCUUUAGCAGUGCCUUGGAUGUGGGAUUCUGGCAUGAGUUGACCCAGAGAAAGCUGAAUGAGUAUCGGCUAGACGAAGCUCCGAAGGAUAUUAAGGGCUAUUACUACAAUGGUGAUUCUGCUGGGCUGCCAGCUCGCUUAACGUUGGAGUUCAGUGCUUUUGACAUGAGUGCUCCCACCCCAGCCCACUGCUGCCCGGCUGUUGGAACGCUCUUUAAUACCAACACACUUGAGGCUUUCAAGGCCGCAGAUAAGAAGCUACUUUUGGAGCAAGCAGCAGAUGAGAUAUGGGAAGCCAUAAAAUCAGGCGCUGCUCUUGAAAACCCUGUCCUCCUCAACAAGUUCCUCCUCUUGACAUUUGCAGAUCUAAAGAAGUACCACUUCUACUACUGGUUUUGCUUCCCUGCUCUCUGCCUUCCAGAGAGUAUACCCCUCAUCCAGGGUCCAGUGGGCUUGGAUCAAAGGUUUUCGCCAAAACAGAUUCAAGCCCUUGAGCAUGCAUAUGAUGAUCUUUGUCAAACAGAAGGAGUCCCAGCGCUACCAUACUUCUUAAUCAAGUAUGAUGAGAACAUGGUACUGGUUUCCCUGCUUAAACACUACAGUGAUUUCUUCCAAGACCAAAGGACAAAGAUAACAAUUGGUGUAUAUGAUCCCUGUAACUUAGCGCAGCACCCCGGAUGGCCUUUGAGGAAUCUUUUGGUCCUAGCAGCUCACCGAUGGAGUAGCUGUUUCCAGUCUGUUGAAGUCCUCUGCUUCCGGGACCGCACCAUGCAGGGAAUGAGAGACAUUGCCCACAGCAUCAUCUUCGAAGUGAAGCUUCCAGAAAUGGCAUUUAGCCCAGAUUGUCCCAAGGCGGUCGGAUGGGAAAAAAACCAGAAAGGCGGCAUGGGACCGAGGAUGGUGAACCUCAGUGAAUGUAUGGACCCUAAAAGGUUAGCUGAGUCAUCAGUGGAUCUAAAUCUCAAAUUGAUGUGUUGGAGAUUGGUCCCUACUUUGGACUUAGAGAAGGUUGUGUCUGUCAAGUGUCUGUUGCUUGGAGCCGGCACAUUGGGUUGUAAUGUAGCUAGGACAUUGAUGGGUUGGGGUGUCAGACACAUCACAUUUGUGGACAACGCCAAUAUCUCCUACUCCAAUCCUGUGAGGCAGCCUCUCUAUGAAUUUGAAGAUUGCCUAGCAGGUGGUAAACCCAAGGCCCUGGCUGCAGCAGACCGGCUUCAGAAAAUAUUCCCUGGAGUGAAUGCCAGAGGGUUCAACAUGAGCAUCCCCAUGCCUGGACACCCAGUGAACUUUUCAAGCGUCACCCUGGACCAAGCCCGCAGGGAUGUGGAGCAACUAGAGCAGCUCAUUGAAAGCCAUGAUGUCGUUUUUCUGUUGAUGGACACCAGGGAGAGCCGGUGGCUCCCUGCCGUCAUUGCUGCGAGCAAGAGAAAGCUGGUCAUCAAUGCUGCCUUGGGGUUUGACACAUUUGUUGUCAUGAGACAUGGCUUGAAGAAACCUAAGCAGCAGGGAGCUGGGGACUUGUGUUCUGGUCACCUUGUGGCACCUGCAGACCUCCUGGGCUCAUCCCUCUUUGCCAACAUCCCUGGCUACAAACUUGGCUGCUAUUUCUGCAAUGAUGUGGUGGCCCCAGGAGAUUCAACCAGAGACCGGACCUUGGACCAGCAGUGCACUGUGAGCCGCCCAGGACUGGCCAUGAUUGCAGGAGCCCUGGCUGUGGAAUUGAUGGUUUCUGUUUUGCAGCAUCCAGAAGGGGGCUACGCCAUUGCCAGCAGCAGUGAUGACCGCAUGAAUGAACCGCCAACCUCUCUUGGGCUUGUGCCUCACCAGAUCCGGGGAUUUCUGUCACGGUUUGAUAAUGUUCUUCCUGUCAGCCUGGCGUUUGACAAAUGUACAGCUUGUUCUUCCAAAGUUCUUGAUCAAUAUGAACGAGAAGGAUUUAAUUUCCUAGCGAAGGUGUUUAAUUCUUCACAUUCCUUCUUAGAAGAUUUGACUGGUCUCACAUUGCUGCAUCAAGAGACCCAAGCUGCUGAGGCACAAGAAGAAGAACUCCCAACAUUCAGGCUGCCGUUACUAUAGCAAGACGGUGCUACAGACAUCACAAGACUUGUUAUACAAGGAAACAUGAUUACAGCGGAUUAGAGAAACUCGCCAGAGCCUUGAAGGAUUUAUUACUUUUUGAAUUCUGAAUGAGACAUAAAUAUGUUUUUCCCCUCUUAAUUUUGGACCCCAUACGGAGAAGAUUCUUUGGUUUCUCUGGAAGCUGAAGAGAUAACAUGGGGUAGCAGAUCUGGGACAUGAGCGACGAUGAGACCGUGUGACAUGGCCCACCUGUGUGCGGCUGGCUUCUCCCUGGCUGCGCGCCGAGGAGCCCUGGGCUACCGGAGCAGGACAGCUGCCCCCAGGACCGAUGACUCUGGGCCCUGCACCUUCCAACCUUUGUGGUCUCCUCCUCUGCGUACCCUGAGGGCCGGAGCCCCCUCUCCGCUGCCCAGGAGCUUCUGGGGUUCUCCAGGUCUCAUGAUUCAUGAUCCUACCAGUUCUGAGCUAAAUAAUAACCUUGGCUUUGGCGCUGACAGUGAUCUGGGA